CGAUCAGUGUUUAUUGGCAAUGUGAGGUCUCUUUUCCUUUUUAACUUUGUGGUUUGCAUUCAAAACUUCAAAUGUAAAUGCAUACCCCCUCUUGAUAACCAAAUACCAGUUAACCCUUCAUGGAGGUGGAUGUAUGCAAGUCUUGUAGAUUAGUGCUUAUUUGGUGAAAAGUAUGCAUCUUCUUGAACUUGUGGCAUGUGCCUUUUACUCUUUGAAAAUAGCAGGUUUAAAUUCUUUCAUUCUCUUGGUUACUUGUAGUAUAAAUUACUGUCCGAUUAUGCUCAUGUUGCAUGAUUGAUUGAAUUAUAUUUUGUAAAUAGUACAAAAGCAAAGAAUGCAAUAUAUGGCAUGCAGAAUUUGAUCGAUCCUGAUGUAAAACAUGCAUUUCAUUUUCAUAUUUCAUUAUCUUGUAUGUUGUUUUAACUACUGGAUAUUCCUUCUGUGUUUUUGAGUUGCUUUCUUGUGAUGCUAAGAAAGGCACAUCAAUUGAAGGAAUUAAUACUGUCAUAUUGUAAAUUAUAUAACAUCUCUAUGCAAGUAUAAGUCAUCAGUUAAGCUUAAAACCUGGAGGUAAGGCCUGGUGACCUGGUGGAGUGAUGACUGAUAAAAUUGAUGGCCCUAAAACAACUGUGCAUUAUCAUCACUGGAUCCUAGGCCAGAAAAAUUAACCAUAUGAACAUUGGUGAAAAAGUAAAUGCUACAAUUAAAACUGAAAUCAUAGUAGUUAAAGCCAACUAAAUUGUUGCAAACAAAUUUUUGUUUGUGUUCAACCAGUUCAUACGUUCUGGAUGCUCUAUGUUAAUUGAGACUGACCACUAAAUUAUUUUUUUUUUUUUGUAAAAAAAG
rnacentral:misc_RNA from 1 species